UGAGGAAUAUUGCACAAUGGAGGAAACUCUGAUGCAGCCAUGCCGCGUGCAGGAAGAAUGCCCUAUGGGUUGUAAACUGCUUUUAUGCAAGAAGAAAUACUAGUACGUGUACUGGUUUGACGGUAUUGCAAGAAUAAGCACCGGCUAACUCCGUGCCAGCAGCCGCGGUAAUACGGAGGGUGCAAGCGUUAUCCGGAUUUAUUGGGUUUAAAGGGUCCGUAGGCGGAAUAUUAAGUCAGUGGUGAAAGCCUACAGCUUAACUGUAGAACUGCCAUUGAUACUGGUAUUCUUGAGUAUGGUUGUAGUGGGCGGAAUAUGUCAUGUAGCGGUGAAAUGCAUAGAUAUGACAUGGAACACCAAUUGCGAAGGCAGCUCACUAAACCAUUACUGACGCUAAUGGACGAAAGCGUGGGGAGCGAACAGG
rnacentral:rRNA from 1 species